rnacentral:rRNA from 1 species
GACGAACGCUGGCGGCGUGCCUAAUACAUGCAAGUCGAACGCAGUGGGUACGGGUUAGUAACACGUGGGUAACCUCCCAUCAGAGGGGAUAACACUUGGAAACAGGUGCUAAACCGAUACUGAUGGAUGGACCCGGGGUGAAUUAGCUAGGUGGUGAGGUAACGGCUCACCAAGGCCACGAUGCAUAGCCGAUCUGAGAGGGUGAUCAGCCACACUGGAACUGAGACACGGCCCAGACUCCUACGGGAGGCAGCAGUAGGGAAUAUUCGGCAAUGGACGAAAGCCUGACCGAGCAACGCCGCGUGAGUGAAGAAGGUUUUCGGAUCGUAAAACUCUGUUGUUAGAGAAGCGGUAUCUAACCAGAAAGCCACGGCUAACUACGUGCCAGCAGCCGCGGUAAUAC